UACGUAGGGCGCAAGCGUUAUCCGGAAUUAUUGGGCGUAAAGAGCUCGUAGGCGGUUUGUCGCGUCUGCCGUGAAAGUCCGGGGCUCAACUCCGGAUCUGCGGUGGGUACGGGCAGACUAGAGUGCGGUAGGGGAGAUUGGAAUUCCUGGUGUAGCGGUGGAAUGCGCAGAUAUCAGGAGGAACAUCGAUGGCGAAGGCAGAUCUCUGGGCCGUAACUGACGCUGAGGAGCGAAAGCGUGGGGAGCGAACAGG
rnacentral:rRNA from 1 species